CAAAGUAAAAAACAAGGAAAAAAAGUUUUGUGAAACAAGAAAACAAGAAAGUUUCCCCUUGACUGCAGGCAAAGUUCUUGCGCACGUGCAAACGAGCAGCCGCAAGUUGAAUUUUAAGACCAGAACGUAGAAGGACUAUAAGGACUGCGAGGAUAAGUCAGCACACGAUUCUCGAUUCGGAUUUAAAAAGCUCUCUUGUGCAAUUUGGAUUACCCGCACAGCCGACUUUUAUGGAUUACAAAACUGUUUGGGAUGAUAAAAGGGCGAGAGGGAAAAAUUGUUCACAAUUUAUGUUGAACCAAUGAUCGCUGUUCGCCUGCUUCUCGACCUGUCCUAUUAAUCCUAAGUGCUUCCUGUGAUUUUAUGCAAAUUUUUAGCAGCAAUUCAAUGUACAAAUGACAGUUGCCUGUGACAUAAAACCCAAGCAACUUAAAGAAGAUGUUGCAUGCCAGGCGUAGCAGCAACAGCAACAACAACAACA